rnacentral:rRNA from 1 species
UACGCAGGGGGCUAGCGUUGUUCGGAAUCACUGGGCGUAAAGGGCGCGUAGGCUGCUUGAUAAGUCGGGGGUGAAAGCCUGUGGCUCAACCACAGAAUUGCCUUCGAUACUGUCGAGCUUGAGACCGGAAGAGGUAAGUGGAACUGCGAGUGUAGAGGUGAAAUUCGUAGAUAUUCGCAAGAACACCAGUGGCGAAGGCGGCUUACUGGUCCGGUUCUGACGCUGAGGCGCGAAAGCGUGGGGAGCAAACAGG